rnacentral:rRNA from 1 species
AGCGAACGCUGGCGGCAGGCUUAACACAUGCAAGUCGAGCGCCGUAGCAAUACGGAGCGGCAGACGGGUGAGUAACACGUGGGAACGUGCCUUCUGGUUCGGAAUAACUCAGGGAAACUUGAGCUAAUACCGGAUAAGCCCUUCGGGGGAAAGAUUUAUCGCCGGAAGAUCGGCCCGCGUAAGAUUAGCUAGUUGGUGAGGUAAUGGCUCACCAAGGCUACGAUCUUUAGCUGGUCUGAGAGGAUGAUCAGCCACACUGGGACUGAGACACGGCCCAGACUCCUACGGGAGGCAGCAGUGGGGAAUAUUGGACAAUGGGCGCAAGCCUGAUCCAGCCAUGCCGCGUGAGUGAUGAAGGCCUUAGGGUUGUAAAGCUCUUUUAGCAGGGACGAUAAUGACGGUACCUGCAGAAAAAGCCCCGGCCAACUUCGUGCCAGCCGCCGCGGUAACAC